GUCUCUGUGGUGCAAGUGGUUAGCACAAUCAGUUUUAAAAACUGAAAGGUUGGUGGUUCAAAUCCACCCAGAGACA